UUCGGGAGAUGGUGUAAAGCUCAUCUCAGACUUACUCUGCCGGAGGAGCAAAGUUGGGAUUCUCAUCUACAAAUGCUCCAUCUGCUGCAUCUCCAUCUUCUUCACUGAGAGUGAUGUGUGUGUGGAACGGCCUUACAGAACCCGAGGUGCUAUAACUGCUAUAACUUCUUAAAUGUGUUUGAGUGAUUUGCCUGCAUCACCAGCAGCUGUUGUUCUGCCAUCCCUCCAGCCUUCCCUCACAGCCUCCUUGGUGUUUUUCCAGUUCUAAGCACCAGCUGGUCCACAGGCAGAAUUCCAACACCAUGACAAUGGAAGACACAUGCCUGUAGAGGUCAGGCUCUGGCACAACAUGGCUUCUGCCACAUUUUACAGAUACAACUGAGUCGAAUCACAGGGAUUUCUCAGAUCCAAGAUGUAAGGAAAGUGAUUCAAAUCCCAAUGGAAGAGUUAUUAAAUAUUGGGUCAGUGUUUUCCAACUUGUAGCAGAUGGCUCUUUGCCAACAUGUGGUCAGAGCUGUGGUGAGCUCCUAAAGGUGAACUUGCUGAGUCAAAUAUAUUAGCAGUUUCCCGAGACAUUGCCACAUUACACUUCACAGAAGUAUUGAUUUUGAAUUGAACCUCAAUGUGUGAGGCUACCAGACCAGGUUUUCCUAUGCCUCACAAUCUUCCUUUGCCACUUUGAUAGUUAAAAGUGGCAUCUCCCUGUACUUCUAACUCAUACUUCUCACAGGAUGAGAGGGAUUGGACAGAUCUUACGUAGCUAUAUUUUCUCUUCUUGAAAUUGGUAUUCAUCAAUCGUCCCCUUGGGUUAUUGCCUUGUUGUCUUAGGGUAUACUAAAGAACUUACAUGUGCUAUUAUAGAUGUGCUUGGUACCAACUCUGGGACAGUUUGCAAUGUUUACUCUGUGAACUUGAAGUGUUCUUAGAUACCUAACUUUGAUCCUAAUGAAGUCUACAAAUCCUCUCCUCCCCUGGGAAAGUCCGAUGGUAUAAGAGAUGAUAAUGCCUUUUAAAUAAGUAAAGUGUGCUAAUUUCACUCAUUAUGUGCAGAUUCACUGACUUUUAAUAAGCUGGUUAUAAAGUAGGGGGUUCUCAUGAUUCCAUGGAAGUUCAAAAUUCUUCUGGAACAAGUCAGUAAUGAGAUGAUACAACUAAGAACCAGUCAGUAGAUUCAGUAUAGGGGCCCCAUGCCUGCCCCAGCAAUUG
rnacentral:lncRNA from 1 species